CCUCCCCUUGACUACAUUUUGCAAAGAGCACACACACACUGCAUCCUGCAUCCAUCUGCUUUAGUUCUAAGACUUGGUCCUUGUAAUUGUAUGUCUAUAUGGUUGAAUCUCUGAUAUUUCAGUUGUAUAUAUGUAGUAUGUAAGCCGUUGCUUCUCCCUCUGUUGUAGCCAUAGAUUGUAAACAGUUUUCUUUUAUUUUUAGACCGAAUUUAUACUUUCUAUUGUUGUGUCUCCCUCCCCCUCCCCGUAUCCUGUGUUCUUCUUCCCCUGCAUGUUUCCAUUUGGCUUUGGACCUUUUCCAACACUUUUCUUUGAAGUUCUAACGUUUUCGUGUUUCAGUGUUGCCACACUGCUUUCGAAGGGCAAAAUGAAUUGCACUUUCUCGUAAUGUUUUUUUGUUUUUCCAUUUCUUUAUUGUGUAUCAGUUGGCGCAUUUCUUAUCAGUAAUGACAAAUGCAAAAACAACAAAAUAAAUCGUAUACAUAGUAUAUGAAGAAGCACUUCUUCCACGAGUACGAGUGCGCCGCCUCGUCUUGCCGUGCUAUUCCCCAGUGUCUAGUAUAUUGUUUUUGCAAUUUUGAUAAAACAAAAAAGGCAACCAACCAACCAACCAAUUGUUUUUUUUCGCAAUGCCAACGCACUCCAAAUGCCAGCAGCGACAAACAAUCGGACCCUCAGUCUUGAAUCGUGCAUUGCGCUGUCUAGAACAAUAACACAAUACAUAUUCUAUAUAUAUAUAUUCCGCUGAUUAAAUACGGCUACCUCCGCACUAAUGGAAAUACGUGUGCUUAAAGUCUAGUCCAAUCGAGAUUACUCUUCCUUCGAAUAUUGCAUUUCUCCGUGCUGCCACCACGCCACCUCGCCACCUCUUGUGCCCCUCCACACGCUUUCCACUUACUUUACGCCUAUUCAUCGAACUACUGCAAUAUACGCCCCACAUUGUUUUUACUUAACCCCACAUCUGUUACACACACACACACACCCACACACACAUCACAUCCCAUUUUGUACUAUGAUAUAUAUCAUUUGUUGAUUACUUUUAAUUAUGCUCUGCACUCGAUGGCUCGAUAAAAUCCAGUGUUUUGCGUAGUACGUCCCAGUGCCCGCCCAGUGUGUCCCCAUGCUAUGCCAUAGGAUAUUGUUUCCUCUUUUGUUCUACUGCUGGUCGGUCACACUGUACCCCGAGUACGUUGUAGAACGCGAAACAUGUGCAACAACGAACAUUUUUGCAUUUCAAAUACGAUUAAAAACAACCCCCUACCCCGGAAACCCCUUACCCCUUUGCCGACAACACACAAAAUUGUUUUAUUUUGCACGUUCGUUCGUUGUUGUUGUUGCAAAUGUAGUUGUUUUAUUUUCAAAAUCAAAUUUAAAUAAAAUCAACCUUUACAUUUAAAAUAAUUUCUCAUUGUUGAAAGAAAGUGUCAUAUGGUUUUUUUUACAACUAAAAGAAACAUUUCUUCUAACAUGAUUUGAGUCGUAUUACAUAAAUAUUUAAUGCUGAUGCUUCUCUUGUGUUGUUGAUGAUGAUGAUGAUGAUGUUGUUGUUUUUGUGCGGGAAACAAUGCAAUAGAAACAAAAAAGUAAUCACCAUAAUACAACAAAAUUCGGUGUUUACAAAGGAAGGAGACGGAUGGCAACUGUGUGGCACAGGCAUCGACACCGACACCGAAAGCCAGCGAUAAACAGAGAGACGAAGAGACGUAGAGACGGAGAGUCGGAGAGAGAGAAGCAACUAGAGCAACAACAUUGUAACAACAACAAACGAAGCGACGAAGCAAAGGUGUUUUCCAGCACUACUAGCUGAAGGAAACGAAAAGAUAUGGAAGAUGGAGCUUGUGCUUGUGCUUGUGCUUGUGCUUGUGUGGGUGUAUGCGUGGUUCGUUCACGCUUUUGCGUGCUUAGAUUAGUGUGUGUGAGAGAGUGACAUCAACAGCUAUAUAGCUACGGGCUUUAGCUGGAGAAGGCAACAGCGACAGCAGCAGCAACAUCAUCAUUGUCAGCGACAGAAAGUCGUGCUCAGUGUCCCUCGUUCCCGUCCCCAUCGUCUCUCUUCCACCCCUUUGCCUCCCUACUCUACUAUCCACACACUGCGCUCAAAAAUACAAAAAAAAAACAAUAUUUUUGUUGCAUUACAUUACAAAAAAAAAAAAAAAA